AAAACUUUCAACAACGGAUCUCUUGGUUCUGGCAUCGAUGAAGAACGCAGCGAACUGCGAUAAGUAAUGCGAAUUGCAGAAUUCAGCGAGUCAUCGAAUCUUUGAACGCACAUUGCGCCCGCCAGCAUUCUGGCGGGCAUGCCUGUCCGAGCGUCAUUU
rnacentral:rRNA from 1 species